GACGAACGCUGGCGGCGUGCUUAACACAUGCAAGUCGAACGGAAAGGCCCUGCUUUUGUGGGGUGCUCGAGUGGCGAACGGGUGAGUAACACGUGUGUAACCUGCCCUUGACUUUGUGAUAACUUCAGGAAACUGGGGCUCAUACCGGAUAGGAGCUCCUGCUGCAUGGUGGGGGUUGGAAAGUUUCGGCGGUUGGGGAUGGACUCGCGGCUUAUCAGCUUGAUGGUGGGGUAGUGGCUUACCAAGGCUUUGACGGGUAGCCGGCCUGAGAGGGUGACCGGCCACAUUGGGACUGAGAUACGGCCCAGACUCCUACGGGAGGCAGCAGUGGGGAAUAUUGCACAAUGGGCGGAAGCCUGAUGCAGCAACGCCGCGUGCGGGAUGACGGCCUUCGGGUUGUAAACCGCUUUCGCCUGUGACGAAGCGUGAGUGACGGUAAUGGGUAAAGAAGCACCGGCUAACUACGUG
rnacentral:rRNA from 1 species